rnacentral:rRNA from 1 species
UACGAAGGGGGCUAGCGUUGCUCGGAAUCACUGGGCGUAAAGCGCACGUAGGCGGGUUCUUAAGUCAGGGGUGAAAUCCUGGAGCUCAACUCCAGAACUGCCUUUGAUACUGGGAAUCUCGAGUCCGGGAGAGGUGAGUGGAACUGCGAGUGUAGAGGUGAAAUUCGUAGAUAUUCGCAAGAACACCAGUGGCGAAGGCGGCUCACUGGCCCGGUACUGACGCUGAGGUGCGAAAGCUAGGGUAGCAAACGGG